rnacentral:rRNA from 1 species
UACGGGGGGGGCAAGCGUUGUUCGGAAUUACUGGGCGUAAAGGGCGCGUAGGCGGUUUGCUAAGUUGAAUGUGAAAACUCUGGGCUUAACCCAGAGCCUGCAUUCAAUACUGGCAGGCUAGAGUUCUGGAGGGGAUAGCGGAAUUCCUGGUGUAGCGGUGAAAUGCGUAGAUAUCAGGAGGAACACCGGUGGCGAAGGCGGCAUCCUGGACCAAACACUGACGCUGAGUGAAGCGAAAGCCCAGGGGAGCAAAACGGGG